rnacentral:rRNA from 1 species
UACGUAGGAGGCGAGCGUUGUCCGGAAUUACUGGGCGUAAAGCGUGCGCGGGCGGUCUGUUAAGACCGAUGUGAAAUCCCCGGGCUUAACCUGGGAACUGCAUUGGUGACUGGCAGGCUUUGAGUGUGGCAGAGGGAGGUAGAAUUCCACGUGUAGCAGUGAAAUGCGUAGAGAUGUGGAGGAAUACCGAUGGCGAAGGCAGCCUCCUGGGCCAACACUGACGCUCAUGCACGAAAGCGUGGGGAGCAAACAGG